rnacentral:rRNA from 1 species
CGCGUAGAUAACCUGUCCUCAUGUCUGGAAUAAUACGCCGAAAGGGGUACUAAUACCGGAUAUUCUUGCUUUAUAUAAGUUUUGCAAGCAAAGGUGGCCUCUGACAUAAGCUACUGCAUAAAGAGGGGUCUGCGUACCAUUAGCUUGUAGGUGGGGUAAUGGCCUACCUAGGCGACGAUGGUUAGCGGGUCUGAGAGGAUGAUCCGCCACACUGGCACUGGAACACGGGCCAGACUCCUACGGGAGGCAGCAGUGAGGAAUAUUGCGCAAUGGGGGCAACCCUGACGCAGCGACGCCGCGUGAGCGAGGAAGGCCUUCGGGUCGUAAAGCUCUGUCAAAGGGAAAGAAAUGUAUAAUGGUUAAUACCUGUUAUAUUUGACGGUACCCUUAAAGGAAGCACCGGCUAACUCCGUGCCAGCAGCCGCGGUAAUACGGAGGGUGCAAGCGUUGUUCGGAAUUACUGGGCGUAAAGGGCGCGUAGGCGGUUUGAUAAGUCAGAU